UUUUUUUGGUGAAUAUUGUAUAAUCCUUGUUGCAAUAAUUUUUUUUCAUUACACAUUGUUUGAGUAACCUUCAAUUUCCCUGUUGCUAACAUCAUUUCAACUGCAAAUACAUCUCUUAACUAUCCACCAAAGGAUCCAAGAUCUAGAUGGCAUAUUAUGUGAAAUAUAGACAAAUAAGGAUAGUGAAAAAUUAAUUGAGAAUGCAAUAAAUGGGGGUUGAUUCUAUGGCUUAUGAAACCCUUUAAUCAAUUAAGGGCACAAAACAAACAUGUAGGAGUAAGAAGAGUUCCCAGAAGUCGAUCAAUGAUGAUGAGUAAACAUCUGUUGAAGAUUGUGAACAAUUGAUCCACCCAAGUGAAGAGGAUGACAAUGACAAGAGGAAAAAGUGCAGAAUGUUGAAGUCUCAUUCUAAAAAGAUUGAUACUCAUUUUGUGAAUUAUAAUUUUUAAUAAACUUCGUACAUUCUUUGUAAUUUGUUAUGGUUUUCAGUUUUUGAGAUUUCAGC